rnacentral:rRNA from 1 species
UAGUUAGCCGGUGCUUCUUCUCCCACUACCGUCACUUUCGCUUCGUCAUGGAUGAAAGCGGUUACAACCGAAGGCCGUCAUCCCGCACGCGGCGUUGCUGCAUCAGGCUUUCGCCCAUUGUGCAAUAUUCCCC